rnacentral:rRNA from 1 species
CCGGGACCCCCUUUUGAAACACGGACCAAGGAGUCUAGCAUGUGCGCGAGUCAUUGGGAAUCACAAAACCUAAAGGCGCAAUGAAAGUGAAGGCCCGCCUUGCGCGGGCCGAGGGAAGAUGGGCGUGUCCGUGUUAACCACGGCCGCUCCGCACUCCCGGGGCGUCUCGUUCUCAUCGCGAGAAGAGGCGCACCAAGAGCGUACACGCUGGGACCCGAAAGAUGGUGAACUAUGCCUGGUCAGGACGAAGUCAGGGGAAACCCUGAUGGAGGUCCGUAGCGAUUCUGACGUGCAAAUCGAUCGUCGGAACUGGGUAUAGGGGCGAAAGACUAAUCGAACCAUCUAGUAGCUGGUUCCCUCCGAAGUUUCCCUCAGGAUAGCUGGCGCUCGUCGCCUACGAGUCUCAUCCGGUAAAGCGAAUGAUUAGAGGCAUUGGGGUCGAAACGGCCUCAACCUAUUCUCAAACUUUAAAUGGGUGAGAUCUCCGGCUUGCUCGAACUGUUGAAGCCGCGAGACACGGAUCAGAGUGCCAAGUGGGCCAUUUUUGGUAAGCAGAACUGGCGCUGUGGGAUGAACCAAACGCCGAGUUAAAGCGCCUAAAUCGACGCUUAUGGGAUACCAUGAAAGGCGUUGGUAACUUAAGACAGCAGGACGGUGGCCAUGGAAGUCGGAAUCCGCUAAGAAGUGUGUAAA